UGUGUAGCUGACCCAAAAUAGUUUCAAAGGCUCAGAUGCAACUUGAUACCGAAAUUUUCUCCACACGUAUUAAAGUUAGCCUUGUAAAUGCUGAAGGCCUCGUAAAAGUUUUCCUGAGUAGUUAUGAGGCUCUCAGGACGCGUUGUACCUUUGGUUCAUGAGAUGGGAAAGGCAGGUGUUCAUGUCACUUGCAGGUAAAUCCAAAUAAAAGAUGCCUCUGCAGUGAGGUGUUUUCGACAAGUCAGAAAAAGCUCCAGAUGUAUAGAAAUUGGGUUGACAUUUAAAGGGUUCUAAAUAUGCUACGUAGCCAGCUAGGCUGAGGAGGUCCCUGUGAGUCUUCAUCAUCUGAUGCCUCGUGUCUAUGUAUCACUAUUAAUGCUUCCACCGCCACCAAUUAACAAUAGUAACGAUUAUUCUCUGAUUACUUAAAAUGUCCCAAGCCCUUUCCCGUCUAUGAUCUUGUUAAAGUAUCUCUUUAACUGUUUGUAACUGGAACUAUUUUCACUACUGUUUUACAGAUCAGAGAAUUUGUGGUUUAGAGCAAUGGUUUCUAAACUUGGCUGUAGAAUCCUCUGGGGGUGGGGGCUUUUAAAAAUCCCAAUACCAAGAUAGCAACCUGUACCCAUUACAUCAGAACGACUGGGGGUGGAAACGAGGCAUUAGUGUUUUACAAAAAUACUAAUGAAAAAGACAGGUGAUUCUAAUGUGCAGCAAGUUUAGGAACUACUGGAUUAAACAGAUUUAAAUCUGAGAUUAGCUGAUGGUCACCCGGCUACCAAAAGGUAAAAUAAAGGGGCCAUUUGAGUCUAAACCUUGUACUUUUCCCAAUAUACCAGGGUGCCUUUCAUCCUCCUACUGGGAAAAUUACAAGAUGUGUACAAAAUGGAAUCCAUGGACCCUACUGUUAAGGAAUUUAUGGUCUGAGGGAAAAAAAAUCAUGUUAAGUAAAGACCAAAUUAGCAUUAAACUAUGUGGUGUUGGUUAUGAACCCAGUAAAAUUUGGUAGCUAUUAAGAUAGCCAAGGACAUGAGUCUACUCAGAUUUUGUGCUUUAUUUAAAAGAAACACUGAAAUAACCCACGCUAACCAACAAAAGUUAAGGAAGUGAGUUAAAAUCAGAACUGGAGACCGAAGAACACUGAGGUUGAACUAUCUUAGCACUAGGAAAACUGGAUCCUUCGAGAAAUCACAUCAUACAUUCAUUUAUCAAACAAUAAUUUAAGCAUUAUUACAUGGAGUGUACUUGAGACAUAUUUAAUUCUCAUAGUCACUCAGAGAGGUGUUAUCACCCUUACCUUGCAGAUUAAAAAACUGAAACUCAGUGAAGACAAUAACUUGAGCUUAUAUCACUAAUAAGUCUCAGACCUGAAAUUCACAUUCAGAUUUAUCCAAUUAAUAUCAAUAGUAAUAAAGGUCCUAAUAUGUGCUAAGGAAUGAGACAGCUAUUGUGGAUAUGAUGGUGAGUAAAAUAUAGUCCUUGACCUCAUUGACCUUCACAUCUAGUGAGGAAGACAGACAUUAACCAAACUUUCAUACAAAACCUGUAAAAAUGCAAAUAUGUUCUAGUAUAUAAGGCAAGAUGUAUAGUAGGUAUUCAUUAGGCAAUUAAGGGAAGGAAGGGAAACAAAGGGAACAGCUCAUGACAUUUUCCUAUGAUGAGAAGGAACAUGGGACUCAGAUGGAGAGGAAAGAAGGCCCAUGGAGCUGGAACAUUGACAAAGAGGGUAAGUGGCCUGAUUGAGCAUGCUGAGUUGGGGAAGAACCCUAUAACAGGGCCUGGUGAAAGAGGAAAAUGAGAGGGUGGAUUUGCGGCUGCCACGUGGAAUUGAAGGUCUACUGUUGUAAAACGUCCCGUGGGAAGGAAGGGAGCUGAGUUUCCUUUGGAGGUGGUUGGAUUCACCUGCUUGUGGAGGCACCAUCUGGCUGAGUCACUCUACAAGCUUGAACCAGCAGAAUGAGAUCUUUUCUGUGAUGCCAACAUUUUUCCUGGACCACAAGAGACCACCAGAAGAACAGUGCUCUGGGCGGCCAGUCAACUCUGACCACAUAACAACUCUGCCUUUUUCUCCCGAUCAUAUGUUCCAGAGGGAAACUGGCAAACAUCUUUGCCUUUUAGUGUGGACCCAUCAGCAUCCUAGGAAACACAUCCAGAAUUCAGUCACAGACAAGAAACAUAUCUUCACAGCCUUCCUGGCGAAGCUGCUCUCCCUGCUUUAGCUGAGUACCAAUGAUAGAAUGCCAGCCAAGCGCUGGAGUACUUCCUUGUGAGGUUGAAUUAAAAUGUGAAAAAACAAAUUCAACCAAUAUUUACUGAAUGACUCACACGUCCUGGGGUAGAUGUUUUACGUGGCUUGCUUCAUUUGUUCCUCAUGCAGCAACGCAAUGUGGUGGCUAACAUAUUGACUUAAUUACAACUGGAUUAAUAGAAUGGUCUCGUAUUGGAUAGGGCAAGUACCCUUUGCCAUUCUUCUAUUUUAAAAAGUUGACUAUUCUCUGGGAUUUAUUUCUUUCAUGGAAAUUUUAAGAUCAUUUUAUCUAAUUCCAAACAAACUCCCUAAAUUAUGUGUUUACAGUAGCUCCCCUUUAUCUGAGGGGGAUAUGUUCCAAGACCCCCAGUGGAUGCCUGAAACUGCAGAUAAUACCAUAUGCUGUA